AAAUACAAAAAUAAAAGUCCUGCGCUCACUCCCAUCACUUCUGGGCGGCAGCAAUGAUGUGUACUGUAGGCAUUGCUGCCGCCCAGGAGUGAUGGGAGUGAGCGCAGGACUUUUCUUUUUGUAUUU